AGUGAACGCUGGCGGUAGGCCUAACACAUGCAAGUCGAACGGCAGCACAGUAAGAGCUUGCUCUUACGGGUGGCGAGUGGCGGACGGGUGUGGAAUACAUCGGAAUCUACUUUUUCGUGGGGGAUAACGUAGGGAAACUUACGCUAAUACCGCAUACGACCUACGGGAGAAAGCAGGGGAUCUUCGGACCUUGCGCGAUUGAAUGAGCCGAUGUCGGAUUAGCUAGUUGGCGGGGUAAAGGCCCACCAAGGCGACGAUCCGUAGCUGGUCUGAGAGGAUGAUCAGCCACACUGGAACUGAGACACGGUCCAGACUCCUACGGGAGGCAGCAGUGGGGAAUAUUGGACAAUGGGCGCAAGCCUGAUCCAGCCAUACCGCGUGGGUGAAGAAGGCCUUCGGGUUGUAAAGCCCUUUUGUUGAGAAAGAAAAGCAGCAGGUUAAUACCCCGCUGUUCUGACGGUACCCAAAGAAUAAGCACCGGCUAACUUCGUG
rnacentral:rRNA from 1 species